UUUUACCCGGCUAUCCUUGCCUCGGGCAAGAACGUUAUUAGACGAGAGGUAUAAGGGUUCGGGAUCCCUUUAACGAAAACGACUGUGGAGAUAUAAGAUGGCAAACCGCCGUGCCACGUACACACACGCUCGCACGAAUGAUUAUUAUUACAGGAUUUCGUAUAAAGUUAAAUACUAUUCAGUCUAAAUGUGACGUUAUUUGUCAGGACGGAUUCUAAGCUCGCGAGAGAACGCAUAAGCUAUGGACCCGUGCUAAUAACGAUGCCAGCAAGGCUAACUACAAGCUCAUCGCCGAGUGCAUUCAUGAAGCAAUAUACAUGCAUUUACUGACCGGUACAUUCGCUGCGUUUAUAUUCGGUCUCGUCAGAAUAUUCGUGGUUACUUCGAAGUAGGUUCUCUCUCUCACUCUUUCUCUUUCUAUCUCUUUCUCUUUCACUUGGGAAGAUAGAUAUACGACCCUACCUUCCUUCUCCCUUUAUUCGGUGUCUAAACCGAACAAUGAGCGUUACCGUGUCAACGUGGAAUUAAUACAUUCAAAUUACCCAUUGUUAUAUCCGAAGACCGUAGUAAUAGCAUUGCAAAUGACGUGUCUCAUUGCUAGCAUUGGUGCGAGGAAGAGAGAGAGAGAGAGAGAGAGACGAGAAGCGUAUGGAAUAAAGAGACAUUUUUCACGUGGAACCACUCGACGAUGCUUUAUGAGCUUGCCUCGUUCGGUAUAUGUAUGUACUAUAGCUAUGUGCGUAACGGCACGCGUGCAAUUGUGCGGUGCAAUAUGUAAAUACACGGUAUUAUCGCGUGUAUGAAGUAUUGUAUAUAUAUAUACGUGUCAUAUUCCGAA
rnacentral:lncRNA from 1 species